UACAGAGGUCUCAAGCGUUGUUCGGAUUCAUUGGGCGUAAAGGGUGCGUAGGCGGAUAGGUAAGUCCGUGGUGAAAUCCUGCAGCUUAACUGCAGAACUGCCAUGGAUACUAUUUAUCUUGAAUGUCGUGGAGGUUAGCAGAAUAUGUCAUGUAGCGGUGAAAUGCUUAGAUAUGACAUAGAAUACCCAUUGCGAAGGCAGCUAACUACGCGAUAAUUGACGCUGAUGCACGAAAGCGUGGGGAUCAAACAGG
rnacentral:rRNA from 1 species